UCCUACGGGAGGCUCAGUGGGGAAUUUUCUGCCAUGGGCGAAAGCCUGACAAAUCAAUACCGCGUGAGGGAAGACAGCCCACAGGGUUGUAAACCUCUUUUGUCACGGAAGAAGUUCUGACGUUACUUGACGAAUAAGCAUCGGCUAACUCCGUGCCAGCAGCCGCGGUAAGACGGAUGAUGCAAGUGUUAUCCGGAAUCACUGGGCGUAAAGCGUUUGUAGGUGGUUUAUUAAGUCUAUUAUUAAAUCUUGAAGCUCAACUUCAGAACUGUAAUAGAAACUACUGAACUUGAAGAUACUAAGGGUAAAGGGAAUUUCCAGUGGACCGGUGAAAUGCGUAGACAGUGUAAGGACCACCCAUGGCGAAGGCAAUUUACUGGGCUAUAUCUGACACUAAGAGACCAGCGCUAGGGUAGCUAAUGGGAGUAUAUACCCCUGUAAUCCUAGCUGUAAACGAGGGAUACUAAAUGUUGUGUGUAUCGAUCCGUGCAUGAUCUUAGCUAACGCGGUAAUUAUCCCGCCUGCGAACUGUGCUCGCAAGAGUGACACUCAUAUGACUUGACUG
rnacentral:rRNA from 1 species